rnacentral:rRNA from 1 species
AUUGAACGCUGGCGGCAUGCCUUACACAUGCAAGUCGAACGGUAACGGGUCCUUCGGGAUGCCGACGAGUGGCGAACGGGUGAGUAAUAUAUCGGAACGUGCCCAGUAGUGGGGGAUAACUGCUCGAAAGAGCAGCUAAUACCGCAUACGACCUGAGGGUGAAAGGGGGGGAUCGCAAGACCUCUCGCUAUUGGAGCGGCCGAUAGCAGAUUAGCUAGUUGGUGGGGUAAAGGCCUACCAAGGCAACGAUCUGUAGUUGGUCUGAGACGACGACCAGCCACACUGGGAGUGAGACACGGCCCAGACUGCUAGGGGAGGCAGCAGUGAGGAAUUUUGGACAGUGCGGGCAAGCCUCAUCCAGCAAUGCCGCGUGCAGGAAGAAGGCCUUCGGGUUGUAAACUGCUGUUGUCAGGGAAGAAAUCUUCUGGGGUAAUACCCCGUGAGUAUGACGGUACCUGAAGAAUAAGCACCGGCUAACUACGUGCCAGCCGCCGCGGUAA